CCUACGGGUGGCAGCAGUGGGGAAUAUUGGACAAUGGGGGGAACCCUGAUCCUGCCAUGCCGCGUGUGUGAAGAAGGCCCUCGGGUUGUAAAGCACUUUCAGUGAGGAAGAACGCCUGGUGGUUAAUACCCAUCAGGAAAGACAUCACUCACAGAAGAAGCACCGGCUAACUCCGUGCCAGCGGCCGCGGUAAUACGGAGGGUGCGAGCGUUAAUCGGAAUUACUGGGCGUAAAGCGCGCGUAGGUGGCUUGAUAAGCCGGUUGUGAAAGCCCCGGGCUCAACCUGGGAACGGCAUCCGGAACUGUCAAGCUAGAGUGCAGGAGAGGAAGGUAGAAUUCCCGGUGUAGCGGUGAAAUGCGUAGAGAUCGGGAGGAAUACCAGUGGCGAAGGCGGCCUUCUGGACUGACACUGACACUGAGGUGCGAAAGCGUGGGUAGCAAACAGGAUUAGAUACCCUGGUAGUC
rnacentral:rRNA from 1 species